rnacentral:rRNA from 1 species
AUUGAACGCUGGCGGCAGGCCUAACACAUGCAAGUCGAGCGGAUGAGUGGAGCUUGCUCCAUGAUUCAGCGGCGGACGGGUGAGUAAUGCCUAGGAAUCUGCGUGGUAGUGGGGGACAACGUUUCUACAGGAACGCUAAUACCGCAUACGUCUUACGGGCGAAUGUGGGGGAUCUUCGGACCUCACACUAUCAGAUGAGCCUAGGUCGGAUUAGCUAGUUGGUGAGGUAAAGGCUCACCAAGGCGACGAUCCGUAACUGGUCUGAGAGGAUGAUCAGUCACACUGGAACUGAGACACGGUCCAGACUCCUACGGGAGGCAGCAGUGGGGAAUAUUGGACAAUGGGCGAAAGCCUGAUCCAGCCAUGCCGCGUGUGUGAAGAAGGUCUUCGGAUUGUAAAGCACUUUAAGUUGGGAGGAAGGGCAGUAAGUUAAUACCUUGCUGUUUUGACGUUACCGACAGAAUAAGCACCGGCUAACUUCGUGCCAGCAGCCGCAGUAACAC